rnacentral:rRNA from 1 species
UGGGGAAUAUUGGACAAUGGAGGAAACUCUGAUCCAGCAAUUCUGUGUGUGUGAAGAAGGUUUUAGGACUGUAAAACACUUUUAGUAGGGAAGAAAAAAAUGACGGUACGUACAGAAGAAGCAACGGCUAAAUACGUGCCAGCAGCCGCGGUAAUACGUAUGUUGCGAGCGUUAUCCGGAAUUAUUGGGCUUAAAGGGCAUCUAGGCGGUAAGACAAGUUGAAGGUGAAAACCUGUGGCUCAACCAUAGGCUUGCCUACAAAACUGUUGAGCUAGAGUACUGGAAAGGUGGGUGGAACUACACGAGUAGAGGUGAAAUUCGUAGAUAUGUGUAGGAAUGCCGAUGAUGAAGAUAACUCACUGGACAGAAACUGACGCUGAAGUGCGAAAGCUAGGGGAGCAAACAGG